rnacentral:rRNA from 1 species
UAGCCACGGUAAUACCAGCUCUCCGAGUGGUGUGGAUGUUUAUUGGGCCUGAAGCAUCCGUAGCCGGCUGGGGCAAGUCCCCUGUUAAAUACCAGCGAUUCAAUCGUUGGAUUGCGGGGGGAGUACUGUCUGGCUAGGGGCGGAGAGAGGCCGACGGUAUUUUCGGGGUUAGGGGUGGAAAUCCUAUAAUCCCGGAAGGACCACCAGUGGCGAAGGC